rnacentral:lncRNA from 1 species
CUAGAAUUUCUGGGGAGGGGGGAAGGAAUUUUGGGUUCCCUCCCACCCAGAAUUAACAUGAACCCCAUUUCUGUUGAGCAUUACGGGGGGGGUUUUGGGGGUCUCUGUUACUCUGGGUGGUCCCAGGAGUUUUUGGGAACCUGUGCCCACCCUCCCAGGCUGCACCAACCCCUUCACGACCCCCAGACCCUCCAGGAACCCCUUCCAGAGCAGCGGCCCUGGUGAGUGACCCCCAGACCCCCCCAGUUCCCCAGCCAGGUGGGUCUGGGGGUCCCAAUUCCGUGUCCCCUCAUUUAGGAGCUGCUUUCACCUCUCCUCCCGUUCCUGGGGGCUUCCCCAGCCCCUUCCAGGCUGACGGGUCGCCUUUCGGUGGGUUCAACGUUGCCAAAGCUUCCACCAACCCCUUCGUGACCCUCCCGACCCCGGCAGUGCCGCUCGGCCUCAGGCACCGGACCACCAACCCCUUCCUAUGACCGCCGCUGCUCCGCCUCUCCCGCCGGGACCAGGUUUUAUUGUCGUUUCCGGAGAUUUAUGGCGAUAUUUAAUGUAUAAAUUCGAUAGAAACGGCGUACCCUCACUAAAGAUGGCGGCCGCGGUGACGCCGCUCCUCACGGCUUUGCCCUCGGCAAAGAUGGCGCCCCCAUAGAUCCUUACGUGCCCUCAGCCAAUAUGGCGGCAGGGGCAUCGCCGGUGAGGGCACGGCUGUGGUGGCCUGCCCUCAACAAAGAUGGCGGCGAACCCGCAAUUAACGGGGGUACCGGGGAAUUAACGGGGAGGGGGGAAGGGAAUUAAUUAACGGGGGCACCGGCGGGGGGACACCCCCAGCCCCCCGCGCGGGGCCCUGGCCGGGGUCGGCUCCUCCCGCACCUGCUGGGGAAGGGCGGAAUUAGUGAGGGGGGAUUUGGGGAGUGCGGGGCGGGGGGGCAGCGCAGCAGAGCUGGAGCGGGGGCGUCCCCUUUUUGGGCAGAGAAAGGGCGAAAACGGACAAAAAACGGACAAAAACGGAGAAAAACGGACAAAAAGCUGAGCAGUGGCAGCAGGAGAGGGGCAGCACUGAACCCCCCCCUCCCAGGUUUUGGUCUCAGCCGGUGACCGGAGUGUCACAAAGGGACAGGGAUGUACCAAGUGCAAUUUUGCGGGGGAUUUCCAUACUCGGAGAAAAAAAAAAAUCAUUAUUUUGCAGUAAUUAGAGUGACAACCGCGUAAUAGUUAAAUAUAAUAAUUUUAAUAAUAAUUAAUUACAAUAAAUUUUGGUCAUCUGCAUUUUUACGUCCCGCU